CAGUCGCCACGGUAAUACGUAUGUCACAAGCGUUAUCCGGAUUUAUUGGGCGUAAAGCGCGUCUAGGUGGUUAUGUAAGUCUGAUGUGAAAAUGCAGGGCUCAACUCUGUAUUGCGUUGGGAACUGUGUAACUAGAGUACUGGAGAGGUAAGCGGAACUACAAGUGUAGAGGUGAAAUUCGUAGAUAUUUGUAGGAAUGCCGAUGGGGAAGCCAGCUUACUGGACAGAUACUGACGCUGAAGCGCGAAAGCGUGGGUAGCAAACAGGAUUAGAUACCCCCGUAGUCCCUGUCUCUUAUACA
rnacentral:rRNA from 1 species